UACAGAGGUCUCAAGCGUUGUUCGGAUUCAUUGGGCGUAAAGGGUGCGUAGGCGGCGCGGUAAGUCGGGUGUGAAAUCUCGGAGCUUAACUCCGAAACUGCAUUCGAUACUGCCGUGCUUGAGGACUGGAGAGGAGACUGGAAUUUACGGUGUAGCGGUGAAAUGCGUAGAUAUCGUAAGGAAGACCAGUGGCGAAGGCGGGUCUCUGGACAGCUCCUGACGCUGAGGCACGAAGGCCAGGGGAGCAAACAGG
rnacentral:rRNA from 1 species